CAAUAGCGUAUAUUAAUGUUGUUGCAGUUAAAAAGCUCGUAGUUGGAUUUCUGAUGAGAGCCCUGGUCACUCUAACGAGUGUACUGAUGUGGCGUCUCGUCGUUUCAUGGGGAUGCUUGCUGGUAUUAAGUUAUCGGCUUGUGGAUCCAUGUCGUUUACUGUGAAAAAAUUAGAGUGUUCAAAGCAGGCCAUCGCUGUGAAUACAUUAGCAUGGAAUAAUAAGAUAGGACUGUGGUGCUAUUUUGUUGGUUUGCGUACUACGGUAAUGAUUAAUAGGGAUAGUUGGGGGUAUUCAUAUUCAAUUGUCAGAGGUGAAAUUCUUGGAUUUAUGGAAGAUGAACUACUGCGAAAGCAUUUACCAAGGAUGUUUNCAUUA
rnacentral:rRNA from 1 species